GGCUGCUGCAGAGAGCGUGCCUGUCUGUCGAAAUGGGCGUUUGGGUGCCGUAUCGCUGCACUAUCUGGAGGCAAUUGAAUUCAGUCCCCAUUAGCCUUACAUUUUCUUGUCAGUCCCCUGGAAUUUUUGAUGUUAGAAGUCUCCAGCUGACCACAGAAACCUUCCUUCCCCCGGCGUGGAGCAGCUCCUCUCCUUCCCCCAGCGUGGAGCUCCACAGGUAAAAUUUUACCUCCUGAAUCUCAGUGUGGGCAAGAUGUUGCUGUCCCUAAACAAAGAGGUUUCCUGUACAUGCUAGCAGCACGCAGAACACUAGGAUGGGGUUUUUUUAAAAGUGGUUGCUGUUGCCUGAGCUUCGCUCCCAGCAAAAUGGGCGGUUGGAAUUUCCCUACCAAAAAGUGCCUGUAAGUUGCUUAAAGAUUUCUAAGACUUUCUUCGUGCAUUUUUGUCAUAGGUUUGUACAUUAGUUACUGUAAUUCUGUCAGACUUACCCGGAUGCUUCCACGAUGUAAUGGCGCUCAGCCAUGACCUGGAAAGUAUUUAUCCACACAACAGCCCGCAACGCGAGCCUUGUGCGCAGUGCCCACUGGAGUGGUGUGUUUGAAACACUUUAUAUCCUCUCGUAGGAGACGUGUAUGUAAUUCGCAACGAGAUGCGGGCGGUAUUUCAUGGAAAUGGCGCGGUUGUGUUCCACAGCGGGAGCCAAAAGUCUUCCUCGAGGACCCACGUGGUCACUCAGGAGAUAAUGAAGUGAAAACAGUUAGCCUGUGAACUUCGCAGGGAACGGAGGAGUAGAUGAGAGGGAGCUCAUGAAGUCCUUGCUGUUGAGUGCUUUGACGUGACCAGUGCUGUCUACAUGGGAAGCAAACGCAGACUAAUGGCUUUAUGGUUCAGAGCAACUCAGCGACAAUUUCAGAUGAAAUGCGCAGUGUUAGAAGAGAUGUAAACUCACAAGUGCACAUAUGUCAUCCAAGUGUAGAGGCCUUGAACAUGCAGGGUGCCUAAGUGUGACCGAUGGAGUAGAAGAGCUGUGUUUUUCUACGGGAAAAGAUUCCUUGCUAAGAUCGGUUUGUUACGCCCUGUGGCUGAAGUAUUUGGAAUGAACUCUCCUCAAUGAUACAUUUUGUAGGCAACAUCUACUUGUUUUAGUACACACUCGUCCUGAAGUCCACGUCACCAAACCUGCUUUAAGACCUGUGAGAGUGGUUUACCAGGUAGUGGCAACGUAGCCGACUAAAUCCAGCCAGCGCCCUUCUUUAAAAUAGGUGCAAAAAAAGACCAUGGCCAGAGGAAGAAAAAAUGUACUUGUUGAAUCUCCUAACUGUUGCCAACAGAGUUUUUGAAUUGCAGAUCAGAGAUGGGCAACAGCUAUCAAGUACGGUAAUAAAUAUGUGAAGGGAAGCCCUUGGCGCUGUCUAAGCGCCUCUUGCUGUUCAGCCAGAUGUUUACCUAGACCUGAAGAAAAGCUGUGAUCAGCCUGCUUGUGGCUGACUAAUAUUUUUCUUCACCCGUUGACUGGCUAGCCAUAAGCAGAGGAAAUGAACUAAUUAUUUAAAAACCCCAAACCCACCUAGAUGACAAAAUCUAUCUUUCCAUUCUUUCCAAGAGCUUCUCCAGCAGUUUGUGGUUCUUUCCAAGGGCUCCAUAGCUUCUCACCAGCCUUGGGUCGGGUUGGGAGAGAGCAUCUCUGAUCCUGCCGGUGAGUCGCCUCGAAGCAUGCAGACUGGAAAGCGCUCUUGGUGGAUCACAUUGCACCGUCUGGUGUGGUGGUCUGUUUCUGAAAGUGUCAAAAAUCCUCUGUAAGGAUUAGCUGAAAGAUCUUAGAAUGGUUCCAGAGCGGAGCCCAACGUGCUGCCAAUGUGCAAGAACAAUCCAUCGACCAACUAGCUAGGACUAGUUAGGGAAAAGUUUGAUGUGAGCAGAGUGUGGUUACCUAAGCCUUAGUGUUUUCAUCAGUGGGAAACUGCGUGUUGUGUGACCGGGAAGUGCGUACGUGAAUCUUUUCGAUGUGACUGAACCUUUCUGUGAGAGUUGCCUCCAAGUGCAAAGUCCGCAUCUGCGGUCAGGCUCUCCGGUCAUACGCAUCUUGACACCGUCUUUUUGAAGGGAAGCAGGAACAAUGUAAGAAAAUGAUCACACAACUGAGAAUAUUUAUUUGUGCUAUAAGGAAGAUCUCUAAAACUUUCCAAAUGUCUAGACUUCAGCCGAGAUUAAUGUCUGUGGAUCUCAAAAUCUUGGGACUGUCAUCACAAAAGACACUAUAAAAAGGUUGGAAAUUGAGACCUUGCCGUAAAUCCUAUAGAUAAUUGCCUAGCUCCCUUAUGCCAUAUGAGGUAAGGUUUCUUGACACGGGCAGUGCAAUUACCUACUAUACAAAUGGAAAAUGAAAUUGCAACUUUGUGUGCGAUUGUCAAGAAGACACCCAAACUACAGGCUAUCUAGCAGAACCGCUGCCCUCUCCUUUGGAAGAAAAGCUUGCAUUAUUCUCUCUGGAAACAACAGAUUUGAAGACAUUAAUCUUUUUAAAUGUGGCCUUUCAAGGUGUCUUCUGAAAGAUGAUGAUCUGCUAAGUGUUUACACUCAUUUCUGCAGCUUUCAUCGAACAGAUAGAGAAAUCUCUUCACCUGAGACCUCCUAGGGCUUCAGUUUGAAGUUAAAAUCCAGACUGAGUUUAAACAGAGACCAAGCGGACAGCAGAUACGGGGCUUAAAUACGUCUUAUGCGAUGCACUGAAGAAUAAAUUAAAUGGUCCUAUGCUGUUACGAUGGACUAAUACCUGAAUAAGUGUUUUUCCCCUUUUUGACUAUUCUUAUUCCAAUUAGGGGCAAGAAGGAAAAAAAGUCAGCAUACCAGCGGUGUAUUCCCUCGAGGGAGAGUGUAUAUGUCGCAGAGGAGAUGGAGGAGGAGGAGGUCCUUUCCUGUGGCAGUCGGAGACAAAUUAACAGCAUAUCUUGUCGUGGUGUC